GGAGCCCUUUCUCAGUGUGGGUCAUUUUCUGUUUGAUUUUGAAUUUGUCCACGCUGUGAUGGACCAGGGCUCUCUGGGGUCCUGAAAUGUCUCCUGUCAUGAGAAGGGAUGUGGAUGGGAAGAGAAAGCACACGAUGCAGUAAACAAAGGGAACAGACCAGCGACCUGACUUCGAGAAGGUCGGGAGCCUGAAGAAAACCUGUGGUUGGCCUGAGCAUCAUCAUGGUUCCUGGCGUCUCCUGUGAGCACACAGUGAGCGCUAUUUUUUGAACACUACUAUGUGCCAGCUACUGUCCUGGGUGCUAGAGAUACCUCAGUGGACAACACAGACACGUGCGGUGCCCUAGCACACUUCGGGGGCAGAUGCUGCUUCAUUAAGGGUUGGAUGAUAGCUGGAGCUCUUCCACUCACUCCCAUCUUUCUGUACCUUAUCCUCUUCUGCAACUAGUAGAAGAAAAAGUAGCUCAAGCCUCUUUCUCUGACACCGUGAGCCUUGGUCCUCAGUGCUCCCCUUGCCUCCCCCCCGCCCUUCAUCACAGAAUUACCUUUGCCCUCUUGGAUCCCACCUUUGUCCUUGCACGUAGUCCUGUUGUAGGACUGAUCACGAUGAAUUUCUAUUGUAUUCUUACCUGUCUGUCUCCCCUACAAGGAGGUGAGCUGCAUCACACCUAACCACACAUGUGGAUCAAUUCCAUGAGGAACGGCCCCUAAGGAACUAUGCAGUUAACUGAAUUUCAGUCAUUAGGUUGACCAGUACAGUCAUAACGGAAAGCAUUAGUCACACCCCUUAGGUCACUAAGAGCCCCAGAAAACAGGUGAUGUACCAGACUCAAGGUACAGCUGUGAACAAGUAGAAAACGGCCGCUGCAAGGGAACCAGCUUGAUAACCCGACAAUCCGAAUGGCUGAAGUAUAAUCAGUCUUAAGAGGUAGCCCCCCUGCCUCUGCAAAAAGAGGCUUAACAUCCAAAUCAUCUUGAGCUGCUCACCACCAAGUGAUGAGCAUUUCUGGCCACAUAGGUCGAUGAUGCUUACCUUACGUUAUGUGGGGACACCUUCAAAUUGUAAAAGUUGGUAGCAGGAUCCCGGCACCAAAUACCUUACGCUUUUUCUUCUACAGGGUUUUAAAACAGUGGAAACGCUCCCAACACUCCCCAAACAAAUUAUUUUAAUAUUACAAUAUGAAAUUACCAAACUCUAAUAAGACAGCCUUUUCAGAUUAUUCCAUUGUUAACAGGUCCCCUUAAAUAUCUUAGUUUACAAUCUGAUUGCAAAUGAAAUGGGAUUUUUCUAAAAAGGAGUUUUGGGGUAGCUGUGAUAACAGGCACAGAUCACUUUAACAAGCUAGAACUAUCAGACUGUUCUAUUAUUUGGCCAAUCUUUACAUGGAACUAGUCUCAUAUAAGCCAGAUAAUUACAAGUAUCAUAAAAGAAAUGAGUUGCUGCAUUGUCCUUCAGUUAAAAGAAAUAUUUUAUUUGUAAAUAAUUAGAGAUUUCACAGGAAAGUGCAAAGAUAGUACAGAGAGGUCCCAGGUACCCUUCACCAAGUUUCUUCCAUGGUUACAGUUUACAUAAUUAUGGUACAAUAUCAAAACCAAGAAACUGACACUGAUACAGUAUGUGCCUAUAGUUCUAUGCAAUUUUUUCUUAGUCCCCUAAUAUAUAUAUAGAUAUACUUUUAAAUUUUAUUUUAUUUAUUUACUUUUUAUACAGCAGGUUCUUAUUAGUUACCUAUUUUAUACAUAUUAGUGUAUACAUGUCAAUCCCAAUCUCCCAAGUCAUCACACCACCAUCCCCACCCCGCCACUGCUUCCCCCCUUGGUGUCCAUACGUUAGUUCUCUACAUCUGUGUCUCUAUUUCUGCCCUGCAAACCAGUUCAUCUGUACCAUUUUUCUAAGUUCCACAUAUACACGUUAAUAUACGGUAUUUGUUUUUCUCUUUCUGACUUCACUCUGUAUGACAGUCUCUAGGUCCAUCCAUGUCUCUACAAAUGACCCAAUUUUGUUCCUUUUUAUGGCUGAGUAAUAUUCCACUGUAUAUAUGUACCACAUCUUCUUUAACCAUUUGGCUGUCAGUGGGCAUUUAGCUUGCUUCCAUGACCCGGCUAUUGUAAAUAGUGCUGCAAUGAACAUUGGGGUGCAUGUGUCUUUUUGAAUUAUGGUUUUCUCUGGGUAUAUGCCCAGGAGUGGGAUUGCUGGGUCAUAUGGUAAUUCUAUUUUUAGUUUUUUAAGGACCCUCCAUACUGUUCUCCAUAGUGGCUGUAUCAAUUUACAUUCCCACCAACAGUUCCCUUUUCUCCACACCCUCUCCAGCAUUUGUUGUUUGUAGAUUUUCUGAUGAUACCCAUUCUAACCGGUGUGAGGUGAUACCUUAUUGUAGUUUUGAUUUGCAUUUCUCUAAUAAUUAGUGCUGUUGAGCAGAUUUUCAUGUGCCUCUUGGCCAUCUGUAUGUCUUCUUUGGAGAAAUGUCUAUUUAGGUCUUCUGUCCAUUUUUUGAUUGGGUUGUUUGUUUUUUUAAUAUUGAGCUGCAUCAGUUCUGUGUCAUUUUAUCACAUGUGUAGAUUUGUGUGACCACCACUGCAAUCAGGAUACAGGUGUACCAUCUCUCACAUGCUACCCCUUUAUAAUCACACCCAGCCUUUUCUCCGCAACCAUCCCUAACCUUGGCACUACUAAUCUGUUUUCCAUCUCUCAAAAUUUUGUCAUUUUGAGAGUGUUAUAGAAAUGGAAUUAUGUAGUAUGUGACCUUUUGAAAUUGGCUUUUUUCAACCAGCAUAAUGCCCUUGAGAUUCAUCCAAAUUGUUGCAUGUGUAAAGAGUUUAUUCUCUUUUAUUGCUGAGUAAUAUUCCAUAGCAUGGGUGUACCAUUGUUUUAUGGAGGGACAUUUUGGUUGUUUUCCAUUUCUAGCUAUUACAAAUAAAGCUGCAAUGAGCAAUGUGUACAGAUUUUUAUGUAGACAUAAGUUGUCAUUUCUCUGGAGUAAAUUAUCAGGAGUAUAAUUUCUGGAUAACCAUAUACUUAGUUUUUAAAGAAAUGGCCAAACUAUUUUCCAGAAUGCUCUUAGCAUUCUGUGUUCCUGCAAACAAUGGAUGAGUGAUCUAGUUUCUCUGCAUCCUCGCCAGCAUUUGGUGUUGUCACUACUUUUUAUUUUAGCUGUUCUUAUAGGUAUGUAGUGAUA